UACGGGGGGAGCAAGCGUUGUUCGGAUUUACUGGGCGUAAAGGGCGCGUAGGCGGCCACCGCAAGUCGACUGUGAAAUCUCCGGGCUUAACCCGGAAAGGUCAGCCGAUACUGCGGGGCUAGAGUGCAGAAGGGGCAACUGGAAUUCUCGGUGUAGCGGUGAAAUGCGUAGAUAUCGAGAGGAACACCUGCGGCGAAGACGGGUUGCUGGGCUGACACUGACGCUGAUGUGCGAAAGCUAGGGGAGCGAACGGG
rnacentral:rRNA from 1 species